GAAAUGCGAUAAGUAAUGUGAAUUGCAGAAUUCCGUGAAUCAUUAAAUCUUUGAACGCACAUUGCGCUCCCGGGUACUCCCGAGAGCAUGUCUGUUUGAGAAUCAGUUUAACCUCUCACUCUUUUUAUAUUUAUUUAUAAAAAACAGUGGACUUGGGACUAUUUUUUGAGAUUUACCUUUCGAAAAAAGACCUUUAAUCUAAAUUUGACCUUUAGACUUUGCUAAAUUUUAGCGCUUUUACACCUAGAAGGCAUGACCAAUGGCAAAGAAGCAAUUCUUGACCUUUUCGACUGCUGAUAAUAGGUUUAGUUAAUUUUUGGCACAACUUGAAGAUUUCAACCAAUAUAUAAACACGGUUAAAAAAAGGUAUUAACUUUUUUUUUUCCAAGACUUUGAUCUC
rnacentral:misc_RNA from 1 species